CCAAUAGACGUACCCGGGUAGUCCACGCCCGUAAACGAUGAUCACUAGUGAUGUGGGGCGUUCGACCCCCGUGCGUCACGCAGCUAACGCGUUAAGUGAUCCGCCUGGGGAGUACGAACGCAAGUUUAAAACUCAAAGGAAUUGACGGGGACCCGCACAAGCGGUGGAGGAUGUGGUUUUAAUUCGAAGCUACGCGAAGAACCUUACCGAGGCUUGACAUCCCAGGAAGUCAGUCGAAAGACAGAUGUGCCUUCGGGAACCUGGUGACAGGUGCUGCAUGGCCGUCGUCAGCUCGUGUCGUGAGAUGUUGGGUUAAGUCCCGCAACGAGCGCAACCCUUGUCGUAUGUUGUCUUUUCAUACGAGACCGCCCGGGGCCAACCGGGGAGGAAGGUGGGGAUGACGUCUGGUCAGCAUGGCCCUUACGCCUCGGGCUACACACGUCCUACAAUGGGUAGUACAAUGGGCAGCCAAACCGUAAGGUGGAGCAAAUCCCAUCAAAACUACCCCCAGUUCGGAUAGAGGGCUGAAACUCGCCCUCUUGAAGUUGGAAUCG
rnacentral:rRNA from 1 species